rnacentral:misc_RNA from 1 species
UUUCCGUUGGUGAACCUGCGGAAGGAUCAUUACAGAGUUCAUGCCCUAACGGGUAGACCUCCCACCCUUUGUUAUACCUACCUUUGUUGCUUUGGCGGGCCGCCUCGGCCACCGGCUCCGGCUGGUGCGUGCCCGCCAGAGGACCCCAAACUCUGAAUGUUAGUGUCGUCUGAGUACUAUCUAAUAGUUAAAACUUUCAACAACGGAUCUCUUGGUUCUGGCAUCGAUGAAGAACGCAGC